rnacentral:rRNA from 1 species
GAUGAACGCUGGCGGCGUGCCUAAUACAUGCAAGUCGAGCGAACAGACGAGGAGCUUGCUCCUCUGACGUUAGCGGCGGACGGGUGAGUAACACGUGGAUAACCUACCUAUAAGACUGGGAUAACUUCGGGAAACCGGAGCUAAUACCGGAUAAUAUAUUGAACCGCAUGGUUCAAUAGUGAAAGACGGUUUUGCUGUCACUUAUAGAUGGAUCCGCGCCGCAUUAGCUAGUUGGUAAGGUAACGGCUUACCAAGGCAACGAUGCGUAGCCGACCUGAGAGGGUGAUCAGCCACACUGGAACUGAGACACGGUCCAGACUCCUACGGGAGGCAGCAGUAGGGAAUCUUGCGCAAUGGGCGAAAGCCUGACGGAGCAACGCCGCGUGAGUGAUGAAGGUCUUCGGAUCGUAAAACUCUGUUAUUAGGGAAGAACAAAUGUGUAAGUAACUAUGCACGUCUUGACGGUACCUAAACAGAAAGCCACGGCUAACUACGUG